AUUGAACGCUGGCGGCAUGCUUUACACAUGCAAGUCGAACGGUAACAGGCCGCAAGGUGCUGACGAGUGGCGAACGGGUGAGUAAUGCAUCGGAACGUGCCCAGUCGUGGGGGAUAACGCAGCGAAAGCUGCGCUAAUACCGCAUACGAUCUGUGGAUGAAAGCGGGGGACCGUAAGGACUCGCGCGAUUGGAGCGGCCGAUGUAAGAUUAGGUAGUUGGUGGGGUAAAGGCUCACCAAGCCAACGAUCUGUAGCUGGUCUGAGAGGACGACCAGCCACACUGGGACUGAGACACGGCCCAGACUCCUACGGGAGGCAGCAGUGGGGAAUUUUGGACAAUGGGCGCAAGCCUGAUCCAGCAAUGCCGCGUGCAGGAAGAAGGCCUUCGGGUUGUAAACUGCUUUUGUACGGAACGAAACGGUCCUGGUUAAUACCUGGGGCUAAUGACGGUACCGUAAGAAUAAGCACCGGCUAACUACGUGCCAGCCGCCGCGGUAAGAC
rnacentral:rRNA from 1 species